rnacentral:rRNA from 1 species
AUUGAACGCUGGCGGAAUGCUUUACACAUGCAAGUCGAACGGCAGCACGGACUUCGGUCUGGUGGCGAGUGGCGAACGGGUGAGUAAUGUAUCGGAACGCGCCCAGUCGUGGGGGAUAACGUAGUGAAAAUUACGCUAAUACCGCAUACGAUCUAGGGAUGAAAGUGGGGGAUCUCAAGACCUCGCGCUAUUGGAUGGGCCGAUAUCAGAUUAGGUAGUUGGUGGGGUAAAGGCCCACCAAGCCAACGAUCUGUAGCUGGUCUGAGAGGACGACCAGCCACACUGGAACUGAGACACGGUCCAGACUCCUACGGGAGGCAGCAGUGGGGAAUUUUGGACAAUGGGUGAAAGCCUGAUCCAGCCAUUCCGCGUGCAGGAUGAAGGCCCUCGGGUUGUAAACUGCUUUUGUACAGAACGAAAAGGUUUCUACUAAUACUAGGAGCUCAUGACGGUACUGUAAGAAUAAGCACCGGCUAACUACGUGCCAGCCGCCGCAGUAA